GAUGAACGCUGGCGGCGUGCCUAAUACAUGCAAGUCGAGCGAAGAGGGGAAGGGUGAGUAACACGUGGAUAACCUCCUAUCAGAAUGGGCUAACGUAGGGAAACCGGAGCUAAAACGGAUACUUAUAGCUGGAUCCGCGUUGCAUUAGCUAGUUGGUAAGGUAACGGCGUACAAAGGCAACGAUUCAUAGCCGACCUGAGAGGGUGAUCGGCCACACGGGAACUGAGACACGGUCCAGACUCCUACGGGAGGCAGCAGUAGGGAAUCUUCCGCAAUGGGCGAAAGCCUGACGGAGCAACGCCGCGUGAGUGAUGAAGGUCUUCGGAUCGUAAAACUCUGUUAUUAGGGAAGCGGUACCUAAUCAGAAAGCCACGGCUAACUACGUGCCAGCAGCCGCGGUAAUAC
rnacentral:rRNA from 1 species